rnacentral:rRNA from 1 species
UGCGUAGGCGGUUUGGCAAGUUGGUAGCGUAAUUCCGGGGCUCAACUCCGGAACUACUACCAAAACUGCCAGGCUUGAGUGCGGCAGGGGUAUGUGGAAUUCCUAGUGUAGCGGUGGAAUGCGUAGAUAUUAGGAGGAACACCAGAGGCGAAAGCGACAUACUGGGCCGUAACUGACGCUGAGGCACGAAAGCGUGGGGAGCAAACA